GUACAAAGAAAACAAAGGGUGGAACUGUAACAAGUGAAUUCAUUUGUUUCCUUUCUUUUUCUUCUUUUUCUUUUUCUUCUUUUUCUUUUCAUCUUCUCCGUCGGCAUUUGU
rnacentral:ribozyme from 12 species